UGGAAACUAUAGCAAAAGCACCACAUAUUCCAUUUGAGUAGUCUACAACCCAAUGACAUGAAAUUUUAAUUUUCUACUUCCAGGUAACCGACUAACUCUCCAUUUAUUUCCCACUAUUAUCUGU